UACGAGCUGCACAAGUUGCUGUGCUCUUACAUAAGACAUCUACCCAAUUUAAUUCUUCGAUUACUCGUCAUGGACCCUGACAGUAUUUUCUGGGCAAUAUUUGUCUUCAUGUGGUUGGUGUACCAGUGGGAGACGUACCUUUCAUAUAGACAAAGAGAGUUGUACAGAACAGUAACCAAAAUUCCGGAGAAUAUUUCAAGUAUAAUGGACCAAGAAACUUACGAAAAGGCACGUCUGUACAACUUAGACAAGAGCACGUUUGGAUUUUAUGUCGGUGUCUGGGGAGAAAUAGAACACUUGUUAAUUUUAAUCUAUGGAGGUAUUCCGUUCCUAUGGAGGGUCUCGGGUUAGGUCAUGGAGAAAUAUGGCUUUGAUUCCACCUAUGAGAUCUCACAGUCGGUUGUAUUUCUCAUCAUGACUGUCACAUUCUCCACCAUCAACAGCUGCACAGGGUUGCCACCAACCUGAUAAAAUAAAAUUCCCUGACUUUUCAAUGACUUUUCCCUGACCAAAUCUUGGUUUUCACUGACUAAUUUCGCGACAUAUUCGUCCUCCUCCUCCCCAUACAGCCGACCAAAUCCACCCUUUUAAUGUUUAUUUUAUUCUUUAACAUAAAAUAUUUAACAAAUAACAAAGCAGUACUACUUGUACACUAAUCUAUGCAUGAUGCAAGGCUAUAUAGUAAAUACCGCAAAACCAAAGAUAAACAAGUUAUGCAUGUACAACCACCACAUAAUAUGAGAGCAAACUUGUCUUUGUGCUUUUUGCCUUUGGCAUGACUACUAAGACUAAGAGCUUGUUUUCCCAUGUUUCCUAGCGUAAAGGAACCACCACUACAUAUAAGACAGCCUGAUUUGUUUUCAGUUUUAGAGUUUUUGCCAACCCAUGAUAAAAACUCAGGGUCUUUGAGCCAACAAUCAUUAAAUAAUGUCUGUAUACUCAUGCUGGUUAUAUGUCUAUCUAUGUGUACAUUAUAUUAAAUCUGAAAUUAGAAGAGAUAAUCAAUUUGUGAUCUGUGAUAUAUGGUAGGUUAAUACAUGAAAAUCAUAAUAACUGAAAUAAAUAAGCAAAGUUAGUAUAGCUCUUUCAUGCUGUCAUCUUUAAUGAUCCUGCAAAGCAUAAAAUAUAGAGUUAACCAGCUCUGGUGGCAAGGGUUGCAAAGCUUUUCAGCCUUCAAGGAUACAACAAUUAAUCAAAGAUAAAAAAAAUAGAUAAAUUUACAUGUAUGAACAUGCAUUACACAUGUUAAUGUUUUAUGUACAUAGAAAUAGUCAAAACAUUUGAAAUAAAAAAUAUACUGUUGAAUCUGCUGAAACAAAUAAUACCUGAAGACUGCCAUAGCCACUAAAUAACUUAUGCAUCGACCCAAAAUUUUAUUUUUCCCUGUCUUUUCACUGACUUUUCUAAAAUUUCAUUUUUCACUGACCAUUAUUUAAAAUUCCCUGACUUUUCACUGACCUUGAAAACAAAUCAAAUUUUGACUUCAAGUUAAGUGGCAACCCUGCAGCAUGCCUUUCACUGUGUACAGCACCUUUGUCAUCGAGGAGAGGCACGGCUUCAACAAGCAGACUCCAGGACUUUUUUGUGAAAGACCAGAUAAAGAAGUUCUUCGUUUCGCUGGCCAUCGGGAUGCCGAUUGUGGCCCUGCUCAUUUACAUCAUUCAGAUUGGGGGAGACUACUUCUUCGUCUACGUAUGGGUCUUCCUCCCAAAUGUCCAUUUCUAGAAACUAUCUUCAAUGUCCAAAAUAUUAAUUAAUUACCAGUGACGAAGAUUCUUUAAGCAGUAAACAUUUCGUUUUCGGGAUGCUGAUAAGCCCUGUGCAGCAUGUUUUAUACACCCUCAGGCUAGAAGGACAUUGCCCAAUAGUCAACAUCCAAUAAUAUACUUCAAUACAUCUUUUCUGGUCUUAUCUCAAUUUUAAUUGGCUUUUGCAUAGUCUAAGAGGAGUGUUGAGAUUUUGAUUGACAGAUAAGGAUCUAAGACAAGGCAUUUCAGCCCCUCCCUCUGUGACUCCUCAGCUUAGACAAAGGAAACAUGACAAUAACUAAAAUUCAUGUAUAAAAAUAAGAGUCAAAAUAAUACAAAACAACA